rnacentral:rRNA from 1 species
AGGCCUAACACAUGCAAGUCGAACGGUAACAGGAAGCAGCUUGCUGCUUCGCUGACGAGUGGCGGACGGGUGAGUAAUGUCUGGGAAACUGCCUGAUGGAGGGGGAUAACUACUGGAAACGGUAGCUAAUACCGCAUAACGUCGCAAGACCAAAGAGGGGGACCUUCGGGCCUCUUGCCAUCGGAUGUGCCCAGAUGGGAUUAGCUAGUAUGUGGGGUAACGGCUCACCUAGGCGACGAUCCCUAGCUGGUCUGAGAGGAUGACCAGCCACACUGGAACUGAGACACGGUCCAGACUCCUACGGGAGGCAGCAGUGGGGAAUAUUGCACAAUGGGCGCAAGCCUGAUGCAGCCAUGCCGCGUGUAUGAAGAAGGCCUUCGGGUUGUAAAGUACUUUCAGCGGGGAGGAAGGCGACAGGGUUAAUAACCCUGUCGAUUGACGUUACCCGCAGAAGAAGCACCGGCUAACUCCGUGCCAGCAGCCGCGGUAAUACGGAGGGUGCAAGCGUUAAUCGGAAUUACUGGGCGUAAAGCGCACGCAGGCGGUCUGUCAAGUCGGAUGUGAAAUCCCCGGGCUCAACCUGGGAACUGCAUUCGAGACUGGCAGGCUAGAGUCUUGUAGAGGGGGGUAGAAUUCCAGGUGUAGCGGUGAAAUGCGUAGAGAUCUGGAGGAAUACCGGUGGCGAAGGC